rnacentral:rRNA from 1 species
AUUGAACGCUGGCGGCAGGCUUAACACAUGCAAGUCGAGCGAGCGGCGGACGGGUGAGUAAUGUCUGGGAAACUGCCUGCUGGAGGGGGAUAACUACUGGAAACGGUAGCUAAUACCGCAUACCAUCAGAUGUGCUCAGAUGGGAUUAGCUAGUCGUGGGGGUAAGGGCUCACCUAGGCGACGAUCCCUAGCUGGGCUGUGAGGAGGACCAGGCACACUGGAACUGAGACACGGUCCAGACUCCAACGGGAGGCAGGAGUGGGGAAUGUUGCACAAGGUGCGCAAGCCUGAUACAGCCAGGCCGCGUGUGGGAAGAAGGCCUUCGGGUUGUAAGGCACUUUCAGCGGGGAGGCGUUACCCGCAGAAGAAGCACCGGCUAACUCCGUGCCAGCAGCCGCGGUAAUAC